UACAGAGGGUGCAAGCGUUGUUCGGAAUUAUUGGGCGUAAAGAGCGUGUAGGCGGCUUUACAGGUCCGUUGUGAAAACUCGAGGCUCAACCUCGAGACGCCGGUGGAAACCGUAAGGCUAGAGUCCGGAAGAGGAGACUGGAAUUCCUGGUGUAGCGGUGAAAUGCGCAGAUAUCAGGAGGAACACCCAUGGCGAAGGCAGCACGCUGGUCCGACCCUGACGCUGAGACGCGAAAGCGUGGGGAGCGAACGGG
rnacentral:rRNA from 1 species